AUGGGGCAGGAGGUGGCCUCUAUGGAGGUUGGGAACAUCCUUGGUGAGGCCAGAUGGGACGACGGCGCCAAGGGGUUGGAGGUCAAAACGACACUGGGGUUCUCUUCCCGGGUGGAAUUCCCCCCAGCAGAGAGGAUGAGAGAUGGAGACUUCUCUAUGACCAUCCAGGAGACAGUGCUGAGCGAUGAGGAAAUGUACGAGUGUAUCUGGCUGGGCCGCAAGACCAUCUCUACAGUCUGGCUCAAGGUUCAGGGUAAGUCUGUUUUCAGGCUUUCCCAUUCAGAGCCGCAUUCUGUGGUUGGUGGAGUCGACCAGCGGCCAUUUUGGGUGUACCAUUUGGAAUGUUUGAUUAUCUUCAUUUAUGCUUAUCACAUCCUCCCUCAUCCCUCACUCUUUUCUACUACUCUCCAUCCCUUCUCCCUCUCAGAGCCCGACCCUCCACGCUCUAUCACGCUGUUCAAGGGAAGCCCGGUCACUCUGCCCUGCUACGGUGUCAUCCCCAAGACCCAGCCCACCAGCCAGAUCUACGUCCAAUGGCUGAAGGACGAUGUGGAGAUCAUGACCCUUAACCCUGGCCCAGACGACAAGGGACCUAAGGAAGAAGACCUCCGUCUCUCUCUCCCACCCAACAACCUGCUGGAGAACGGUGACCUGUCCUUGUAUAUCUACAAGACGGAGCUCAAAGACCAGGGAGUCUAUCGCUGCUUCUACAAGUCCAGGGGCUUCGAGGACCCUAAGAGUGGGAUACCAGAGGGUGUCUCUCUCACCAUCCUAGAUCCAUACACUGACCUAUAUAACUUAACAGUGUUUUUCCCUUUUUUAACACAGGAACAGAGAAUGUCACCAGUAGCUCAGACUUUAGUGGGACUAGUGGUGACAGUGAGAACCCAAUAACAUUCUUCACUUUGGUGACCCAAGAUAAGGAGGAUAUGCAAGGUACUGUACAGGUGUUGCAACGUUUGAAAGCUAUUUUCUCCCCAAUGCUUAUUAUUACUUAUUGUUUUUGUUAGAACAUACUGGUAACAUUUCAUUACAUCAUUACAGUGACAUCAUCUGAGCCAAUACUAGUGCAGACAGAGAUGACACCAUCAUCACCUGACACAACCUUUGGUGAGUGUUAUGUUCUAAAUGUUUUGGAAGUACUGUAGAUGAAUGUUGGAAGGCGGAGUCAAUGUUGAAUACUGUGCCCCCCUAUUCUCCCUCUUCCCUCCUCUUCCCUCCUCUUCCUCUUCCCUCCUCCUUGCCCAGAGGAUCCAGAAGACGUGUUGGCAGUGUGGGCAAAGACCCUUCCGCUGGUGCGUAUCGGGAUAAUCACCGUGGUUCUGCUGGUUACAGCUCUGAUCUUCUUCCCUCUGCUGGUUCUCAACAAGAUCCCAUCCUAGACCCACAUUAGGGUAGAGAGGGUAGACCCAAGGGUUAGGGCAAAGUCAUUCAAUUAUGGCUCUGGAGGGCUGAAAAACAUUUUCAUUCUCUUUUAAUCAGACUGAUUCAGAUUUGGGUCUAUCGGGUGACUCUUGGCCAAUCAAUUACAUCCAUUGAUAAUUCACUCAGGGCUAGUAACUUUUUAAAGUGUAUACAGUGCAUUUGUAAAGUAUUCAGACCUUUGUUUUUUCCACAUUUUGUUACGUUACAGGCUUAUUCUAAAAUAUAUUACAUUAUUUUUUGUCUCAUCAAUCUACACACAAUACCCCAUUAUGACAAAUUGAAAACAGGUUUUGAGACAUUUUUGCAAAUGUUUAAAAAAACAUAGCUUAUUUACAUAAGUAUUCAGACCCUUUGGGAUGAGACUCGAAAUUGAGCUCAGGUGCAUCCUGUUUCAAUUGAUCAUCCUUAAGAUGUUUCUACAACUUGUUUGGAGUCCAUCUAUGCUAAAUUAAAAUUAAUUGGACGUGAUUUGGAAAGGCAUACACCUGUCUGUAAAGUCCCACAGUUGACAGUGCAUGUCAGAGCAAAAACCAAGCCAUGAGGUCGAAGGAAUUGUCCGUAGAGCUCUGAAACCGGAUUGUGUCGAGGCACAUUUCUGGGGAAGGGCACCAACAAAUGUCUGCAGCAUUGAAGGUCCCCAAGAACACAGUGGCCUCCAUCAUUCUUAAACGGAAGAAGUUUGGAACCACCAAGACUCUUCCUAGAGCUGACCUCCCGGCCAAACUGAGCAAUCGGGGGAGAAGAGCCUUAGUCAGGGAGGUGACCAAGAACCCAAUGGUCACUCUGACAGAGCUCCAGAAUUCCUCUGUGGAGAUGGGAGAACCAUCAGGAGGUACAACCAUCUCUGCAGCAUUCCACCAAUCAGGCCUUUAUGGUAGAGUGGCCAGACCGAAGCCACUCCUCAGUAAAAGUCAAGACACAAAAGACACCUAAAGGACUCUCAGACCAUGAGAUACAAGAUUAUCUGGUCUGAUGAAACCAAGAUUGAACUAUUUGGCCUGAAUGCCAAGUGUCACGUCCGGAGGAAACCUGGAACCAUCCGUACGGUGAAGCAUGGUGGUGGCAGCAUCAUGCUGUGGGGAUGUUUUUCAGCGGCCGGGACUGGGAGACUAGUCAGGAUCGAGGGAAAGAUGAACGGUGCAAAGUACAGACAGAUCUUUGAUGAAAACCUGCUCCAGAGCGCUCAGGACCUCAAACUAGGGCGAAGAUUCACCUUCCAACGGGACGACGACCCUAAGCACACAGCCAAGACAGCACAGGCGUGGCUUCGGGACAAGUCUGUGAAUGUCCUUCAGUGGCCCAGCCAGAGCCCGGACUUGAACCCACUCUAACAUCUCUGCUGAGGCCUGAAAAUAGCUGUGCAGCGACGCUCCCCACCCAACCUGACAGAGCUUGAGAGGAUCUCCAGAGAAGUAUGGGAGAAACUCCCCAACUACAUUUAUGCCAAGCUUUUUGCUUUGUCACUAUGGGGUAUUGUGUGUAGAUUGAUAAGGGGAAGAAAAACUAAUUAAUCCAUUUUAGUUUAAGGCUGCAACGUAACAAAAUACAAAUGCACUGUAUAUGUGAAUAGUCUGAAAAUGCUACAUUAUCUUAGCCACAUUAAAGCUACAGCCUCUAUGCAUUUGUCCUCUGCGAUGCUGGAUCAACCCCUCAUCUGAGCUGCCAGUGAGAAGUCUGAGAUCGUUUGAUGAUGUCUGCCCUGCUACGUCCGCUGAAUGCUUUGGAGGUUGUGUAUUGGAAUGUGGGAUUGGACUCAAGGGCUCAGAUGAACCCUGCUAUGCUCUGUCCUUAUAUAGUAUUCCUAUUAAUAUCUCUGCCUUGGAAUGAUGACAAGGGCGGGGAGACAGUCUUCAAAUACUGAACUGCACCAUUUGAAAACACAGUAUUGGAUGUACAAUAAACGUGUGUUGCGAGCGCAUUGCAAAUAAACAUUAAAUACAUG
ensembl:lncRNA uncharacterized LOC115179705